UCACUCUGGCUUUACUGCAGGUCGCAUAAAUCUUUCGCCUUUUACUAAAGAUUUCCGUGCAGCAGGGCACUUAAUGAGUCUGUAAUCAAUUUUUUAUUGGCUUAUCGAAAGAUAAGCCU